GGGGUUGAACGAGAGUGCCGCAGUUAGUCGCUGCUUCACCAACGCUCUCAGCAUCUGGACUUUACUCAUUUUACCUCUUUCUCAACACAACAAAGGGACUCUUCUAACACACAUUUCUGCUAGACGCCAUCUUGUUCAAAGUGUGACAUUAGUAAACCUGUUUGAGUCGUGACUUAAUAACUGUCCCAUCAAAAGCUUUACAUAACUCUAAUUAAAGGCUUGCAACUGUCUUGCUUCUUGUAGUUGAAUACAGUUAACAUUGUCUGUAUCUUACAUGCAGGCUCAGGUAAGCUACUCACUGUUUCCAACUGUCCAGCAUCCAGUACAGACAGUAGGUUGUUGUUUUUUUUAAUUUUAUUUCAUAAUGAUCAUUAUGUGAGAAAAUAAUUGUUAUUAAUGUGUCUGAAU